UCGAGGAUCUUCGGCAAUGGGCGCAAGCCUGACCGAGCGACGCCGCGUGUGCGAUGAAGGCCUUCGGGUUGUAAAGCACUGUCGAGGGGGAGAAAAGGGCAACCUUGAUCGACCCCUGGAGGAAGCACGGGCUAAGGUCGUGCCAGCAGCCGCGGUAAGACGAACCGUGCAAACGUUGUUCGGAAUCACUGGGCUUACAGGGCGCGUAGGCGGGCAAGCAAGUCCGGGGUGAAAGCCCACGGCUCAACC
rnacentral:rRNA from 1 species